rnacentral:rRNA from 1 species
UACGUAGGGUCCGAGCGUUGUCCGGAAUUACUGGGCGUAAAGAGCUCGUAGGUGGUUUGUCGCGUUGUUCGUGAAAACUCACAGCUUAACUGUGGGCGUGCGGGCGAUACGGGCAGACUUGAGUACUGCAGGGGAGACUGGAAUUCCUGGUGUAGCGGUGGAAUGCGCAGAUAUCAGGAGGAACACCGGUGGCGAAGGCGGGUCUCUGGGCAGUAACUGACGCUGAGGAGCGAAAGCGUGGGGAGCAAGCAGG